rnacentral:rRNA from 1 species
UACAGAGGUCUCAAGCGUUGUUCGGAUUCAUUGGGCGUAAAGGGUGCGUAGGUGGCGCGCUAAGUCAGGUGUGAAAUUUCGGAGCUUAACUCCGAAACUGCAUUUGAUACUGGCGUGCUUGAGGACUGGAGAGGAGACUGGAAUUCAUGGUGUAGCAGUGAAAUGCGUAGAGAUCAUGAGGAAGACCAGUGGCGAAGGCGGGUCUCUGGACAGUUCCUGACGCUGAGGCACGAAGGCCAGGGGAGCAAACGGGG